rnacentral:lncRNA from 1 species
AAGAGCUAUUUGCAGCUGAAGCUUAUAGAUGUUCCUUUUUCAGCUCUUCUAAUUUUUGAAUGCUUAAUCAUUACUUAGUGAUCUUUCAACACAGUGGGCCUGAGAACAGCGGUGUCUAGAACCUGUGCUGAAGAUCAUGUUUCCGGCUGACAGCCUCUUACUUGAGACAGUGAGAUUACUGCAUGGACAUGGCACAUGGAGAGGGCCUUCCACACCAUUGAUGAUUGCUGCAACCUGAAAUUGAUUUUACUCCAUGAGACGCUGUGGAUGUGGGAAGACGGUGUUUCUGCCGGGUUGACAGAAGAUGUGGCACAAUGUCCUAGUGUUCGACCAUCCACCGCAUGUGCAGCUCCAGGUAGCUGCUGGCAGCCAUGACACUGGCUUCCACUAUCAGAGGAAGAGGUGCAAAGUAAGAUGAUUUGAGAAUGUUUUCAACUCUAAAAAGCUGUUUUCUUGUAGAGGGCUAUGCUAUGGUGACAAGCCCUGCACCAGAAGGGGAUGGUUGCAGCAACUACUCUGCCAUAUUAGCUGAACUCCUUGAAAUUUCUCACAUACUGAAUUUCUCCCACCAGCUGGAAUAUCAUUCCAGCCAGUGUUGACAUAAGCCAUAACUGCUAGCUGCAGCCGAGUCCUGCAGCCUGACCCACUGUAUUGGAGAAGUGACACUAAAUGUUGUGGGGAAGAUUCUGCUGGCUUGAGGAUAACUGUCAUGUGCUUUCUCGAGGCUUUACAGAAGUUAUUGGGUGGUUUCAGCCUCACCUGGCCCUGAGAGACUACACGCACAGUGCCUGUGAAGUGUUUCCCAGAGGACAAACCCACAAGGUUAACAGCCCUUACUCUGUUACUUGCAGGAAGAGAAACAGCCCUAACCUCAUCUUGGGAAGCGUAACACUCACAGGUUGCUCUCUCUCCAAGUGCCCCUUCUGUUGGAAGACAUGGUUUUUAAUCAUUUAUGGAAGAUUAGCUGUGUUCCUGGUGGUCUCAUAAGCACAAAGCUCACUUUGUGCUUUUAACUUCACCUAUAUUCAGGUAAAACUUCCUC